CGAUUCCCUAUGGGGUGCAGCAGGCGCGAAACCUCCGCAAUGCGAGCAAUCGCGACGGGGGGACCCCAAGUGCCACUCUUAACGGGGUGGCUUUUCUUAAGUGUAAAAAGCUUUUGGAAUAAGGGCUGGGCAAGACCGGUGCCAGCCGCCGCGGUAACACCGGCAGCUCUAGUGGUAGCCAUUUUUAUUGGGCCUAAAGCGUUCGUAGCCGGUUUGAUAAGUCUCUGGUGAAAUCCUAUAGCUUAACUGUGGGACUUGCUGGAGAUACUAUUAGACUUGAGGUCGGGAGAGGUUAGCGGUACUCCCAGGGUAGGGGUGAAAUCCUGUAAUCCUGGGAGGACCACCUGUGGCGAAGGCGGCUANCUGGA
rnacentral:rRNA from 1 species